UGGAAAAGGAGGGGUUUAUUAGAAGCAUCAAUAACAUCGAGGGGAAAGGAUUGAAGAUAGAGAAAUUAAUAACAGACCGUCAUCUUCAGAUCCAGAAGCAUGUCAGAGAAAACAUGCCGAAUACAACCCAUAACUAUGAUGUGUGGCAUGUUGCCAAAGGUUUUAAGAAGAAAUUAACCGCUCUAUCUAAGAUUAGGGAUUGUGAGUUCCUGCAGCCUUGGAUCAAGAGCUUGUGUAACCAUCUUUACUGGGUUCCAGCAUCAACUCCAAAU